AAUCAGACACAGCUGAUUUUAAAAUGUGCAUAGCAGCCAGCUUUCCCAUGUGACACAGGCUCAUUUUCCCCAGCUUAUAGCUCCUUGUCAUUGUUGAAGCACACGGGCCAACAGAAAGACAAACACCGUCAGGACACAGCGUGCUACUAACCUGCUCAUGAACUUGUAACGGCGGGGCAGGCUUCAACUGAAACUGAAUGGAAUAAUAAUGAAACAGGUGCUUUUUAAGUAUAUCCUGAACUGUUACUGAACUCUCUCACUUCUGUAAAUGAACCCAGCCACGAUGUCAUGAGAAAGCCCAGGCAGCAUGUGAAGAGGCCCACAGCCCACAACCCUGGCUGAGCUUUCAGCUGACAGCCAGCACCAACAUUCCAGCCAUGUCCCUUCAGCUUUCCUGAGAUACACAAGGACUCUCAGCCCAAGAGGUGACAGAGUUGAAUGCCUGAGCUUCAGGAACAGGAUGACCAGGGAUUGAAGUCACUCCCUUCUUUAUCAAUACCAUCAAUAUCAACAACAGCCAUGCAUUAAAGUUGUCAAUAUGUCCAGACUCUUUCCUAAGCAUAUUGUAAUUUAUUAACUCAUUUUGUCCUCAUAAUAGCCCUUGAGAUGGGAAUCAUCUGAUACUUAACAAACAAAGAAACUAAGGCACAGAGAGAUUAACAGCUUUACCCAGUUACUUAGUAAGUGGUGAAGUAGUAAGUGGAUCUAAAUCCCAGCUGUCUGACUUGAGAGCCAGUCUUCACAUACUCUAUUCUUCCCCUCAAACACAUAGGCCUCUUUUCUGAUUCAAGAGUCUGAUGUUAAGAGUGCUGAAAUAAGCUGGUCCAACAUGGAUAAAAGAAUGGAAGCCCUACCCCCUGGACACUACAACAAACCAUAUAAUGUUGGAUCAAGGGUCAAAUCCAGGGAUUCUCAGCUAGGGAUGAUUCCUCCCUCCCCCGACACCAGGACGUGUGACAAUGCUUGGAGGUAUGUUUGGUUGUUAUUAUUUGAAGGAGGUGCUACUGACAUUUAGUGGGUAGAGGCUAGAGAUGCUGCCAAAUAUCCUGUAAAGCACAGAAUAGCCCUCUACAACAAAGAAUUAUCCAGCCCUAAAUGUCAAUAGGGUCAAUGUUGAAAAACCCCAGAGAUGAAUUGACUGUUGUUACCCAGACUCAGAUGUGAAAAUCAGCUAUCCACAAUCUUUUUGUAGCAAACUCAGGAUUCCACAAGCUAAGCACUGUAAUAAGUCUUUGGAAUAUAAAAACCAGUAAGACAAAGUCCCUCUCUCAAAACAGGAGAGACAUGUGUCCAUGUGUUC